rnacentral:misc_RNA from 1 species
GAUGAAGAACGCAGUGAAAUGCGAUAAGUAGUGUGAAUUGCAGAAUUCAGUGAAUCAUCGAAUCUUUGAACGCACAUUGCGCCCCUUGGUAUUCCAUGGGGCAUGCCUGUUCGAGCGUCAUUUGUACCUUCAAGCUUUGCUUGGUGUUGGGUGUUUGUCCUGAGGGACUCGCCUUAAAGUAAUUGGCAGCCAGUGUUUUGGUUUUGAAGCGCAGCACAAGUCGCGAUUCAAAGCUAUACGCCAGCUUCCACAAGCCUUUUUCACUUUUGACCUCGGAUCAGGUAGGGAUACCCGCUGAACUUAAGCAUAUCAAUAAGCGGAGGA